GAUGAACGCUGGCGGCGUGCCUAAUACAUGCAAGUCGAGCGAACAGACGAGGAGCUUGCUCCUCUGACGUUAGCGGCGGACGGGUGAGUAACACGUGGAUAACCUACCUAUAAGACUGGGAUAACUUCGGGAAACCGGAGCUAAUACCGGAUAAUAUAUUGAACCGCAUGGUUCAAUAGUGAAAGACGGUUUUGCUGUCACUUAUAGAUGGAUCCGCGCCGCAUUAGCUAGUUGGUAAGGUAACGGCUUACCAGGGCAACGAUGCGUAGCCGACCUGAGAGGGUGAUCGGCCACACUGGAACUGAGACGCGGUCCAGACUCCUACGGGAGGCAGCAGUAGGGAAUCUGCCGCAAUGGGCGAAAGCUUGACGGAGCAACGCCGCGUGAGUGAUGAAGGUCUUCGGAUCGUAAAACUCUGUUAUUAGGGAAGAACAAAUGUGUAAGUAACUAUGCACGUCUUGACGGUACCUAAUCAGAAAGCCACGGCUAACUACGUG
rnacentral:rRNA from 1 species